rnacentral:rRNA from 1 species
AGCAGCCGCGGUAAUUCCAGCUCCAAUAGCGUAUAUUAAAGUUGUUGCAGUUAAAAAGCUCGUAGUUGAAUUUCGGGAUCAGUACGCUGGUCGUGCCUUUGGUAUGUACUGGUGUCACUGAUUCCUCCCUUCUGAAGAACCGUUAUGCCAUUUAUUUGGUGUGGCGGGGAAUCAGGACUGUUACUUUGAAGAAAUUAGAGUGUUUAAAGCAGGCUCGCGCUUGAAUACAUUAGCAUGGAAUAAUGAAAUAGGACGUUUGAUCUUAUUUUGUUGGUUUCUAGGAUCGACGUAAUGAUUAAUAGGGAUAGUUGGGGGCAUUAGUAUUCAAUUGUCAGAGGUGAAAUUCUUGGAUUUAUUGAAGACUAACUACUGCGAAAGCAUUUGCCAAGGAUGUUUUCAUUAAUCAAGAACGAAAGUUAGGGGAUCGAAGACGAUCAGAUACCGUCGUAG